rnacentral:rRNA from 1 species
UAGGGAAUCUUCCACAAUGGGCGAAAGCCUGAUGGAGCAACGCCGCGUGUGUGAUGAGGGCUUUCGGGUCGUAAAGCACUGUUGUAUGGGAAGAACAGCUAGAAUAGGAAAUGAUUUUAGUUUGACGGUACCAUACCAGAAAGGGACGGCUAAAUACGUGCCAG